rnacentral:rRNA from 1 species
UACGUAGGGGGCUAGCGUUGUCCGGAAUCAUUGGGCGUAAAGCGCGUGUAGGCGGCCCGGUAAGUCCGCUGUGAAAGUCGGGGGCUCAACCCUCGAAAGCCGGUGGAUACUGUCGGGCUAGAGUGCGGGAGAGGCGAGUGGAAUUCCUGGUGUAGCGGUGAAAUGCGCAGAUAUCAGGAGGAACACCGAUUGCGAAGGCAGCUCGCUGGAACGUAACUGACGCUGAGACGCGAAAGCGUGGGGAGCAAACAGG